AGCUCUCCGAGUAGUGUGGAUGUUUAUUGGGCCUAAAGCAUCCGUAGCUUGCUAAACAAGUCCCCUGUUAAAUCCACCGAUUCAAUCGAUGGACUGCGGGGGAUACUGUUUGGCUAGGGGACGGGAGAGGCCGACGGUAUUUCCGGGGUAGGGGUGAAAUCCUAUAAUCCCGGGAGGACCACCAGUGGCGAAGGCUGUUGGCUAGAACGCGCCCGACGGUGAGGGAUGAAAGCUGGGGGAGCGAACCGGAUUAGAUACCCGUGUAGUCC
rnacentral:rRNA from 1 species